rnacentral:tRNA from 1 species
GGGCCCAUAGCUCAGUUGGUAGAGCAGGGGACUCAUAAUCCCUUGGUCCGAGGUUCAAGUCCUCGUGGGCCCACCA